ensembl:lncRNA
UAUCUAUCUAUUAUCUCCAAUCUAAGCCAGUUGGUCAUGUAACAGCGGGCCCUCCAGGACCAGUUCAACUGACUCCAUCUCUUAACAGAGUGAUUAAGAAUUGCCUUUCAGAAAAUUUGCAAAGUCACAUAGCCAGAGCAUGCACAGAAGAAAUCUUGACCUGAAAUUCACUGUGGAACCAAAGAUUCUUCUCCCCACGGAACCAGACUGGGACAAGACCAGAACUUAUAAGUCACACUAUUAUCAGCAGAGAGGGGUCCCUCACUCAGGUUAAAAGUGUUAAAGGUCCUUCCCCACCUUAUCAUAAAAAUUUAGAACCUCAUCAUAAAUGUUUAGAACGCUGUCAUAAAUGUUUAGAACCUCACCACAAAUGCUUGAAGCCCACCCAUCAAAACCUGUCCCACGAGUGUUUCCACGUGCCAGCCUGUUCUCCCUAAUGUCUUAAAUUUUGCCCCAAAUCCCAAACUGGGGAGACAGAUCUGAGGGCACACACCCUCUGUCUCCCUGCAGAUGGAUCUCACAGAAUAAAGCUGGUCUCUUUUCCCAAAGGCUGAUGCUGUAAUUAAUUGGCUUGUUUAUAUGCAUUGGGCAAGAGAACCCCAAUUUUGUGCAGUAACAGCCAGAAGUACAGAUUCUCCAUGAGAAAGGAGGAGGCACUUGUUCUCCGACUUCCUCAGACCUCCCCUGCACAGGCUACUAGGCCUUUGAUGCCCACCCUUCCCCUGGAAAUCUGACCCACCGGUUGGGUCAAAACCAAGGACUAUGGAUUUGGCAGCUUCUGCCCUGAUCCUGACAGGCUGAAAACAAUUCAUCUGCUGCUCCUGCCUCAGUAUCCCCUUUUUGGAAGAAAGAGUCACAGAAAAUCAAGUCUGGAAGGGACCUCAGAAAACACAUGGUGCAAACUCCAUAAUAUACAGAUGGGAGGAGUUAACUCACCCUAACCAAGGGCCCCCCAGGUGGUCACCGUUUCUCCCCAGCUGUUACUUCCUCACUCCCCUGCUCAAACCCUUUGGCAUCUCUCCAUUGCUGAUGGAAAGAAGUCCCAAGUGUUCAGCUUAGGAUUCAGGACCCUUCACUAUUUGGCCUCACUUCACCCUGCCAGCCUCAUGCCCUACUGCGCCCCUACACAUAAAACCUUUUCAUCUGGGCUGAUUUUGUUCCCUCAGAUUGGAGCACCUUGCCUUCAUCUCUGCAAAAUCCUACUCUGCCCCUGGUUCCUGGCACAGAACUCCUAAAACCCUUAUAACUUCCUAAGUGAUAACAGCAUUAGGAGCAUCUUUUGUUCUAAUGAGGCGACUCUGGGUGGGCUCCUGGAUGGCUUCUGGAUGGGGGCUGGUCCCCAGAAAGAUCAAGCCAUGGUGAGAAGCUUGGAAUUUUCAGCCCUACCCCAUCCUCCAGAGACAGGAGAGGGGCUGGAAAUGGAGGUAAUAACUGACCGUGCCUCCGUGAGGAAGCCGCCAUAAAACCCCGGUCGUACAGGGGUUGGGAGAGCUUCCAGGUUGGGGAACAUGUCCACACCAGGAGGUUGACACACCCCGACCCCACGGGGACAGAAGCUCCUGCACUCGGGACCCUCCCAGACCUUGCCCUGUGUAUCUCUUCAUCUGGCUGUUCAUCUGUGUCCUUUAUCAUGUCCUUUAAUAAACUGGUAAACAUAAGUAUGUGUUUCCCUGAGUUCUGUGAGUGGCUCUAGCAAAUUAAUCAAACCUGGGGAGGGGGUCGGGGGAACCUCUGAUCUAUAGCUGGUCUGUCAGAAGCACAAGUGAUAACCUGAGCUUGUGGCUGGCUGGCAUCUGAAGUGAGGGGGUCUGGGGGGCAGUCUUGUGGGACUGAUCCCUUCCUGUGAGAUCUGAUGCAG